rnacentral:tRNA from 1 species
GAGGGUAUAGCUCAGUGGUAGAGCGCAUGCUUAGCAUGCACGAGGUCCUGGGCUCAAUCCCCAGUGCUUCUG